rnacentral:rRNA from 1 species
CAAUAGCGUAUAUUAAAGUUGUUGCAGUUAAAAAGCUCGUAGUUGGAUUUCUGGUUGAAGCGACCGGUCGGGCGUUGAUUCGUCUGCACUGGAGUCGGUUUUGGCCAUCCUCUAGGAAAGUGCGUCUGGUAUUAAGUUAUCGGGCGUAUGAUCCUGGUCUUUUACUGUGAAAAAAUUAGAGUGUUUAAAGCAGGCCUUCGCCUUGAAUACAUUAGCAUGGAAUAAUAAGAUAGGACUUUGGUCUAUUUUGUUGGUUUGCAGACCGAAGUAAUGAUUAAUAGGGAUAGUUGGGGGUAUUUAUACUCCGAUGUCAGAGGUGAAAUUCUUAGAUUUUCGGAAGAUAAACUUAUGCGAAAGCAUUUACCAAGGAUGUUUUCAUUAA